rnacentral:rRNA from 1 species
UUACGGCUACAUCACGUUGAAACACUGGUUACCGUACGAUCACCGAAGUUAAGCAACGUAGAGCCUAGUCAGUACCUAGAUGGGUGACCGGGAUAAGCAAGUGA